rnacentral:rRNA from 1 species
UACGAAGGGAGCGAGCGUUGUUCGGAAUCACUGGGCUUAAAGCGUGCGUAGGCGGGCAGGAAAGUCAGAAGUGAAAGCCCCGGGCUUAACCCGGGAACUGCUUUUGAAACUUCCUGUCUAGAAACCGGAAGAGGUUAGCGGAAUACCCAGUGUAGAGGUGAAAUUCGCAGAUAUUGGGUGGAACACCAGUGGCGAAGGCGGCUAACUGGUCCGGUAUUGACGCUGAGGCACGAAAGCGUGGGUAGCAAACAGG